rnacentral:lncRNA from 1 species
CUACACACCACAGCCGUUCCAAAACAAUGAGAGCUCCGCCUCCAUGUCGCCCUGCUUAAUCAUGCACAUCAUGUACCUUCCUCAGUCCAUCAUGUUAAUUCGUCGGGGGGUGGGGGAAUGCCAUCUUAAGAUAUCUAUUGCUUUCAUAAUUCUCAUUUAUUAUUCGUGCAGGACCUCGACUUCACGCAUUCAAACUUCGAAAAGUACGUAACUUGGCAUCUAAGAUGGAUAUGAUAUGGACUGGGAGAAGCGAAAUAGCAAGAACAGUGCCAAAAAUCUCGCUCACGAACAAGUCCAGAGGGAC